AAGUAUUUUUUUUUACGGCAACUGCACAUUGGUAUGGAUUUUGAGGCUUAUUUUUCUUCAUACAAGACAGCACAAUCAAAUAUUUAGAGGAUUUCCUCACCUACAUCUGAAAGUCGAAAGCAUCACUUUAUUGCUACACUAAUCAAACACGUUAUUAGCUUAGUUCUUCCUAGUUUAUUAGCUUUAUACUAUAUGCUUAGAUAAUUAUAUGAAUUUUUAAUUAGAUGUAUUUGCUAAAGAAGGUACAGCUACGGUAACAUUUUUUUUGUCAACGUACAGCUACGGUAACAUAGCAUAAGGUAUUUUUGAGUAAAAAAAAUGAUUGUUUAUGUAUUACUCCUUUCUAAUAUACUUGAUAAGAACAAAUAGUUGAGAAAAUCACAUAAGCUACAAAAUAUAUACGAUUUUCUAAAUUAAUAUAUUUUAAUGUUUAUUUUUAAGUAACAAUACAAUAUUUAAUUUUCUUAAUUCUUAACAUAUGAUAAAUGUCUGACUUCAAUUGUUUUUGUUUUAAUUUUGGGAAAUUAUUCUACAUUAAUUGAUUUAUGAAUUCUUCAGAAACAUUUUGGGACCUCAACAAAUAGUUGAGAAACUCUACCAAUUUUUGUCGAUAUCAAUACAAUACUAAAAGGGGGAUAAUCUCAACUCUCAGCUAUGCCACGUCACUAAAAAUAUUCAACCAAUCAGAACAUUUCGUUUUUAGAUAUGGGCUUAAAGUUUGUUUUCAAUGCAAUUAGAUGUGUGGGCUUCGUUGGAGUUAGGUUUGGGCUUCUUUCAUUUGAUUAGACCUAAGUCUGCGACGGAGCUGAAGUCGCGAGUCUUUUCCCUUCUCCUCUACCACUUCGUCUUCUCCCCUUGAAACCAUUUCGCACUGAGCUUUAAUCGAUCCAUCAAUACUCCACAAGGGUUCGUUUCAGCUCCUUUUUUUCCUCCUUCAAUGUUCUCAGUUUGUGUUUGCAAUUGCAUAAAGGAUCGUUCUCAGAUUAACAAAGUAAGAUGAGUGGAAGUGGAGUUAAGAGUUUCCGGAACCACAAAGACACCUGCAGAUUUCCUCAAACCCAUCUGUGAGACCGUUGUGGUGAAACUCAUUAUUGGUGUUGAUUAUGGAGGUGAUGAUACUCUCUUUCUUUGAACAUAUCUUCUUCUUUGUAUUCUUCUUAUGUUGUGGCUAACAUUAAGGAUGUAGCUAAAGUUCAGCAGAGCGAUGUGAAUUCAAAUACGCUGAAGUUUAUGCCACAGAGAAUGCUCGGUACGGUGUCGUCUUCAUGAUUCCAAGUUGGUGGAAGAUAAAUGGAGAGUAGUGUUGUUGGUGAUCCGAACGGUGAGGAGCUUAUCAGCCGCAUCUGGUGAGACCAUGAUGAUACAAUCUCUUAGCUUCGAUGAUUCUGAUGCCUGCGAGGGUAUUUUUACUUAGUGGAAGCUCAGAAACAAGAGUUUCUGCAGAAGAGUUUGGUUUCUUGAAAGAGACAUGUGACAGAUACGGUGAACACGGUCCAGUGCUACAUUCCAAGUGUAUCGAUUGUUUCAAAACGUUACCUUUGGCAUCUGAUUUUGCAGAUAAUGUGUCUACACAAAUCAUGGCGGCCUCUUUCAAAGCUCCUCUCGGGUCCAUGAAGAUAGCACUUUAUUGUUGGGUUCAUUAGAGGAACUUGACAGGGUUUACAGGAGAGAAGUUGGCGAGAAUGAUGAUGGGAAUAUAACUCUUAACCAUGUUUUAUGGUCGUGUCCGUGGAUGGCUGAUGGUCUGAGCGAAAGUAAUUACAAGGGACUUCUUUGGGGAGCUGAUUGCACUGAGAGUUUUCUAAAACAAUCGAACUUAAAAGAUGAUUAUAAGAUCACGUGAAGGCCCUGAUGCAAAAUCAGAUCGAGAAGAGAUGGGAAACAUGCUAUGCAGAUACUCAGUAGAUCAUGGAGUAGAAUCUGGAGAGCUUUAUACAAUCUUCAGUGCUUCACAUCUCUCACAGGUCACUUCCCUUAAACAAAGAGAAAUACUCAAGAGCCUAGCUUUGCAGGAUUUCAUGUUCAGUGAAUGGUUUGAGAGCUGUAGGUUCAGGUUAGAUGGAGUUCUAUUACCAGCGGACCAAUCAAAUGUUUGUUCUAGCGAUGGCAUAAUUCUGCUUAUGAACUGUGCGCACAAUAUGGUACUACCAUGAUGUCAGCAUUGAUUCUCUCAGAAUCGUGAAUGGAUCAACAUUACAUAUUUCUCCACAUACUAAUCCACAAGCUACUUAACUAUGUUUGAAAGGUACAUGGGACAGAUGUUUAGAAGAGUGUGAGUCCGUGAAAUACAUGAUAUGCUUGAUGGUAUUUUCUGGAUUAGUCUUACUUCUAGCAUAUUUGUCUAUAGUUGUUUGGGAUGUAAUGAUCAACAUCUGAGUUUAUUCAGAGUAUCUGUUAUAGCGAAUUUAAGGCUUACAAUUUCAUAAAGCAAAGGACAUGUUCAUAUUGCAUAAAUACAAGAAAGUGACACAUGUUGUCGGGUUUUGUUUUAUCCAAACCAAUAACCAGAACCAAACUGAAAACAAAAAAAUACGACCUGGAAGAAAAUCAAAACACCUAAACAUAUUCAUGAACGAACAGUAUAAAUAUAUUUUCAAAAUUGAUGACAAUUUUUCUCAAACAUUUCCAAUAAUAAGUUUUUAAUAUGAAACAUAUGAUUCAUUAAAAAAAAUCACUUGGUAAAUUGAACUUCGGAUAAAACAUAUUUUGGUUACAUUACAUAUUGAUCUACUAGAACAUAUUAUUUCGUAUAUAUUUAUUAAAAAAUUUAAUUAAUCUUCAUAAAUAUUUUUAAGUACAUACAAAUUAUUGAUAAAUUAUUUAAUAACUCUCAAAAUUAUAUACACAGAUAAAAAUAGUAAAUUUAUGUUAAAAAUAUAAAUUUAAAAAUUCACAUGAAAAACAUUAAUGUAUAUUCUUCUUAUAUUUGAAUUUACAAUUCAGGUUAAAAACAUAUUUUCGUUAAUACGACGCAACAAAAUGGAAAACAUUAAAUUUAUGUUUUAUAAGAGGAGAUAAUAUAAAUUUCAAAAUUAUAUUAUAUUUAAUGUAUAUAAUAUCAUGUUAAUAUCAUUUAAAUGUCAGAAAAGUAAAAGCAAAUAAAUUCAAUAAUAGAAGAAAAUAUACAUAAUAUGAAUUUUUUUUUUUUUGAACACAAUCAUAAUAUGAAUUUAAGAGCGAGAAACAUUAAUGUUUUCAAUAUUUGUCUGUCUUAUAGCAUUUUUUAAUGUCAUUUUUUUCUCAAUUACUAAGCAACAUUUCAUAUUAUUAGUUAUUAGUAAUUUUUAUUGUUUAUUCACCUGCAUGUGGGCUGAAAGUAUGAAUUUUAGAGUCAAAACAUAUGAUGAUUUUGUUCGUCAUAUUAUCAAUCAGAGAGACCCUUUUUGACACAGCUCACAAUUCAAAAACUGAUUAUGUGUACUGGAGUUUUUUCGAGGAAAUUUUCAAGAGGCAAACACAUAAAAGAAGAAAAAUGAUUUAUUUUUAGAUAAAAAACUGUUUUUUUAGUCGAAAGAUGAUGAGUUUCCACGAUAAAAGCAGAUGAUGAUAAACUUAAUUGCGAUAAUAUCCUUUUAUUUUUUGUGUGUGACUGUGUAUAAAAAAGAAGGACAGUUUUAAAAAUUUAACAUAAGAUUUAGAUUAAAGCUACAACUAUUAGUUAAAUGUUUCUUUGCUAAAAAUAAUCGAGAUGACAUCGUUAGAAGCUAAAUUAGACCAAACUUGAAAGAAUAAUUAUAUUUUAUGGUUUGUGAUUUGAUUUUUAAAAUAAUUAGAUUCUGUUUAGCUAACUAAGUUUAUGAUUUAUAAAAUAAAUAGAUAAAUUUGACGUGUAAUUUUUA